AUACUUACCUGGCAAGGGAGAUACCGUGAUCAAGAAGGCGGUUCACCCAGGGCGAGGCUCAGCCAUUGCACUCCGGCUGUGCUGACCCCUGCGAAUUUCCCAAAUGUGGAAAUCUCGAUUGCAUAAUUUAUGGUAGUGGGGGACUGCGUUCGCGCUCGCCCCUG
rnacentral:snRNA from 2 species